rnacentral:sRNA from 1 species
UUUUCUUUCUUUCUUUUU